GUCUAUGGCCAUACCACCCUGAACACACCCGAUCUCAUCUGAUCUAGGAAGCUAAGUAGGGUCAGGCCUGGUUAGUACUUGGAUGGGAGAAUGAGCCAAUGUAAGGAUAGAAU
rnacentral:rRNA from 1 species